CCUGCAAUUCAAGUAAACGUUGCACAGACAAACACAUUUUGAUACUGAUCAAUCAUGUAAGGUCAGUAUACACAUGUAAUCACGUGCUAAAUAUGUGCUGAUUUCUCUCACUUUGAAGAACUGACAGUAAAUUGUUUAUGAUGUACAGAUACUGUUUAACUGGAGGCGUAUGCUGCCGGGCUGGUUUGUUUUUGAUUUUUGGUAAUAACACUUAUCUCACACAGCGAUUGGCCACUCCCAUUUGAGGUGUUGCCUUGGCCACUGACGCAAUUGGUCUCUCUUUUUUAUUACACGCCAUGAAGGCCUGCGCACAUCCUGUGGGCUGUCGUUAGGUUUAUUGUGUCUUUUUUUUUUUUUUACUCGAUGUCAACAUCCAUUGUGCUUUUAUGUCGUCUUAAUGCUUACAUUAUCUUACUAUCAAGUAUAUGCUGUUCUUGAAACGCCAGCAGAACAUAAAGAUAAUAUUGCAUCACUAAAAUAUGCAUAAAAGCCCAGGAGAGCAGAACGUGGCAGGAAAGUAAUGCUUGUUUUUUAAAGCAAUUAUAUUUUCUUCUUGUUCUUUUUAAUAAUAAAAUAUGGUAUCUUCUUCAUGCAGCCAUGCCUCAUUUGGCUCACACCUGCAUGAUCUGUCUGUGUGUGUUGCAGAUGUUUCUCUCACUUCCUGUCAGCUGAGAUGAAAGACGUCUAGAGAACUUCAGUAUAGAUGUUGGAGGAAAUGGGAGAAUUGGAUUGCAGGCAUUUGAAAUUGCCUCUUCUGACCCUGAAAAAUCUUGGAAAAAUCAUCACCCCCUAUGUGAAAGAUGUUUCACAGGAUCAGUGGGCGUCCUUAGCCGAUGGUGACCCUGGAUCAAAAGUUGUCAUUCUGUUGUCCAACAUGUGCCAUGCUGCGAUUAUAGAAGAAAUUAGCGCCUUGGUCCUGGAGGUUGUAGAGCCUCAGGUUCUUGCCAAGGGGCACAAUCAUGCAUGUGGAGACAAGGUAAGUUUGCAGGAUGGGUGCAGCUGCUGCAGAGUAACAGAAAAUAAUAUUCAAGCCAGCUUCAGAAACACCCUUCAUCACUGUUUUGGUGAAGCCCUGUCCACGGCACAAGGUAAGUCCCACAACUCGGAUAUAUUAGUAAAGCUGUUUUCAGCAGAAAUUACUAAAAGAGUCAACACGUCGCUGGCUCGUAUCACAGGGCCAGCUCCUACCCCACAAACCCAUGACUCAGUGACAGGUAUGAGCAUUAUGCAAAUGGUGUAUAAUGUGACUGAGAUUUUUGAAUGCAUCUUGAAUGUCAGCAGAAAAAUCACAGACAAGGCAUCUGACAGCAUGACAUGCUCAGACUCUAACUGUAAGCAGACCUGCUGUCUAGAUGUGGAGGAGGAGGAAGAUGCAGAAAUCCCACAAAUAAGUGACUGUUCCUUAGAGAAUUCAUUGUGCACGGAUAAUCUGAGUCCUCCUCCAACUCCAGAGCUCCCUAAGUAUUCAGAAACAUUUGUCCCUUCAGCAUUGAUUUUAGCCUACCAGGAGAAUUCUUCACCAAGUCUGGAUGCUGUUAAUUUCACAAUUAUUCUGUUUGUUGUUAAUUAAAAAAGUAAAUAAUAAUCUAACAGUUAUAGCAGUAUUGUGCAAAAGUCUUGAACUACCCCAUUUUUUAAUAGCAACAUAAACACACAUACAUAGUUACAAUGCUAUUAUGAUACAUUGUGAGACACCAUUGUGAUCUGACAUUCCAUCCUAUACUAUGACAUUGUCUUUGGUGCUCAGCUGAACUGUCAAUGGUACAUGAUUGAGGAAUUUAUAUAAAAAUAUUUGCGUAUAACCCACAGUGGCCUAGGCAUUGUUUAGUUAAAGUUUCAUCAAGAUUGGGCCACUUGUCUUGGAGGAAAUAGGGAAGAAUUGGACAUUUUUCAACAAUUUUUCUUAAUUUGAAAAUAAAAAUCAACCCAUUAUGAACAAUAUUUAUGCUAAUAAGAUAUAAUGUACUUUAUGUAACUGCCACUGAAGGAUGUCAGAGAGGAAUACCUCAGGAUCUUCCAAACUCCAGGGACGCGUGCCAAAGCUCUGAUGAAGAUGAUGGUAUGACAGAGCUCAGACAGCAGUUCUGAUAAUAAGAAUGUCUAAUACACCUCUUCCUGCAGACAAUGUUCCCUCUAACUCUUCAUGUGUCUGAGCAAACACACAAACUCCCUGAGCGGUUGAUGGACCUGAUGGGCCUGGGUCAGGGCUCAUGCAUUGUUCUUGGGUUUAAUGAAUAUUAUAAUUUCUAUCUGACUAUGUGGAUUGUUUAUUGUUGUUGUUGGUGUGAUCUGCUCCUGGUCCCUUGUUUCCCUGUCUCUGUGUUUGGGUGUGUGUGUUGCGGUGUGUGAGUUUUGCUGCCAUACCAGGCCUGGAGAGUCUUCAGCCUUUGAGCCAGCCACACCUGGUGCAAUCAGCCACCUGUUGUGGAUCGUCAAGGAAACACUACUCAAGAGAGGAUCGGAGAGGCAGCCAGCGCAGGAUUGUUAGACUAGGAACAUAGUCAGUGCUCCUGCUCACAGUUACUGUAGUCGCUGAACUUCUCCUGUUGGAAUGGUGAAAGUGUUUUUGUCAGCCGGUGGAUGGGACGGUACUCACUGUGGACUCUCUCGUUUCCAGGUGGAUUGUGGAAACCUGUGGCAGGAGCAGCACACUGUUGUACAAAGGCACCGAGGAGGACUAAACACUUACCACAGAUCACGGCACGGGGAUUAAGAACGAGCGCUCAGAGAACACAGAUGCUGUGGAUUGUUGGCACUGUUUUAUAGUUUCUUUUCAUUGUAAAUAAACGCACCA